ACCUCCUCCAGCCCCCACCCAGGGCAGUUCUGGGCUAAUCUUGGAACUGACUUCAGGAUGAACCCCACCCGAACCCUUGGCCUCGGGUCAGAGCCCAACUUGCCCAGUGUGGGUAUUGUGGGGGGAGGGUCCCAAGAUUCUGACACACCCCCCUGCCGCUCAGAUCCCCGAGAGUGAGGGAGCCUAAUGAGGGAACAGGUUAAAUGGGCUCUGAGAAAUCGCUCUGGUGAAUGCUAACAGGGGCCCCUGGGAACCUCUUCCAAUCAGCAUCCCCCCCCCCCCCCCCCCCCCCCCCCCCCCGCCCCAACCUUCACUCUCUGAUUAUCUGUCCUCCUUCCUUGAUGAAUGGGACUGACCAGUCAUCUUGGAAAAGCUUCUCCUGUUGAGAAGGGCUUGGUCCAAAGGGGCUGGGUGGUAAAGAGUAUCAGAAGGGCUUGCCUGAACAUGAUUUACUAAAGACAUCUGACCAUCUGGGCUUUGGGAGGAAGAGGAAGAGCAGGGACACUCUGCGAAGGACACGAUUUCUGGGUGACGCUUGUGGGCCCGUCCCAAGAAGUCAUCAGUCCUGGGGCGCCCCCUGCUGGUCCUAGCCCCAAAUUGCAUCUAGCAGGCAGCGUGAAAAGGAACGUACUCGGCACCAGCGUGGGCCCACCACAAAGUGACUGGGAGUCUGGGAAAAUCUCUUCGUGUGCGGCCACCUGUGAGAUGGGCUUCAAACACUUGCUGGCUUCACAGGGCUGUCUGAGAAGGCUGCAUUUUGCAGACACAAGCUCCCGCCAGCCAUUCACGGCGAUUGCUGGAAUGUUGAACAUUGUUGAGAUUCACAAAGUGGCUGUUUGGAGCGUUAACUACCUCUGAACCCUUCAGAAGGAAAGUCACCUUCUCACGUGGAUGGAAAUAUUUGCAGGUAAGGGCUUGCCGACUGACUUGGCCUUCCAACGCUAAUCUUUUGC
rnacentral:lncRNA from 1 species